rnacentral:lncRNA from 1 species
AUGCAGGGCCUGUCUCUCCUCCCGUGCGCUGGUCCUGUCCCCAGGCAUUGGGCUGCUUCCUGGGGAUGGGCUGAGGUUGGGACGUGGGUCCAGCUUGGUGAGGCCCAUGGCCUAGUAAGGCGAUGCUGUGGGGAGCUGGAGACCAGCACUGGCACAGAGACAGACAACCCUGCAGGCUGCAAUGAGAUCCUGUGCCACCAGCAAGUUGGAGAAGGCUCCAGAGUGCAGGGCAGAAAUUGUGUUAGUCCAUCUUUAUAACAGCUUUCAAGAGCAAGGAUCAAAAAUCUCCCAUCUUCCAAGAGAGCACUGUGGAUGAUGGAAACAGUGAAUGUUCUUUCUGUUCAGUUUUAUUCCUGCACUUGUGCUGUUAUUGCCAUCCAGAUCUUUAUUUUUCAGUAUCUCAGUCAGGAACCUGCUGUUCCUGACAUUUAAUAUAACAGCAAAACUCAUUUUGCAACAUUUGUCAGACGAUGAAGGAUAAAAUGGAGCUUUUAACCGUAUCUGAUGCUAUGUGUGUCUCAUCUAAUUUCUGGAGCUGCUGGAAGCCAGGCAAUCCCAGGCAAUCCGGGCAAUUUCUUCUCCAACAUGGGAAAAUUGAAUGCUGUAAUGUCUAUUUUCUUCUUUUCUUCUGUCUAGACCCUUUUUCCAUACAUAAUACUUCAUGUCUAGAUAGUUUUCCCAGUUCUCACUAGGUAAUGUUAGUUUCCAGACUUGUGCUCAAUGAUUACCACCCAUGCUAGAACAGAGAAUGCUUGCAAAAGGCUUGGAAACUUGAGAUGCUGGUUCAGAACAGGGCCCAAUCUGGCUUUCAGUCUCAAAUUGCAGUUUUCAGAGGCUUUAAUCCAACUAGCUGAGUAUUUCAUUGGCACAGUUACACAAAGGAAUUGAGAAAUAGCAAUCUGCAAAGCAACCUUUAAUAUGUGUAUGUUUUUAAGCAAGCUAGCUCAUCUCUGUAGAUGCCAAAAAUUACACAAUUUUUGCAGUGCCUUAUGAAGUUCAACUGCUUUUCCACCAUACUGUUAAUGCAUAUCUUUCCUUUUGCCACCAACAACUGAAGAAGUCAUACUGCCGUUUUUAGAAAAAAAUUAUUUAAGGGAUGAAAAUGUAAAACAAGCCUGCAGGAGCCCCCUUUUUAAACAUCCUUUUUGGCUGAUUUGCGGUUUGGCUUUUUGUUUUUAACUCAACAGGUGACCUACACACAGCUAUCCCUCUAAGAGAGCUUAUUCUAUUUCCUCUGAAAUAUCUGACCAGCACAACUCUUGCACAAAGCUUCAUACAGAGCAAGAAUUUUAUUUCUUGAAAACCUUUCAUUAGUUGAGAGCCAGAAUGAAUGUAUGCAUCCUCUGUUCUGAAAUUUCAAGGGGAUAUGGUAAGAAAAUGCUAUUAAAUGCAGUCUUGCUCCAGCUGCUUUGUUGUAACUUGCUGCCUAUGGCCUAACUUUCUAUUGUAACUUUCACAUUGAAACACUCAGUCAUCUGAACUUCUGCGUACACAAGGUUUUUAUGUAUAGAGAGAAAGAUACACUGGCAUAACAGAGCAGUCUGCUUUGUUACACAGAGGAAUUAGUGUCAUGUAUAGAUGUUUGCAAGGAUAAAUUGGAUGCAAGUUCAGUGUUGAAACUGCAAUUCUGGAAUGUAUGGGUGCUGCAUACAAUUAUUUUUAGUGCCACAUACAUUCUCUUAUUUCUACUCAAAAGGGACAUUUUCAGUUCUUCUUUACUACCUUUCAAGUGUAUGCCUUCUCAAUUUCUAGUGCCAUGCCUAUUUCAAACUAUGGCUUUUUCCUGUAUCUCAGUUCUUAGUAAAAGGAAGACCUGAUGGGUGACAGAGUGGCUAUUUCUUAUCUUAAUAAUAUUUUAUAAGUAAUCAUUAAAAUUAAGCCAAAUCUUAGAUCUCAGUAAAAAUCUCCCUCAUGGACUUGGACACAUUUCUAUGGACGCCUGUAUGAAUCAAUUAUGUAGGUGACAUAAGGACCAAAAGUAAUACCUCCUAAGUUAUUAUGUUGGCCCACAAUGUCAAAGGAAGAUGGUGAUAUGGCAGUAGAGGCUGAACCUUCUUGCCAAUAUUCUAUUACAUUUUGUUGCUUUGUGACAAUGGUUGAGUAAGAACAGUGGAAUCAUAGAAUGGUUUGUGUUGGAAGGCAUAUUUAAUGACCAUCUAGUCCAACUCCUUUGCCAUAGGAAAGGUCAUCUUUCACGGGAUCACAUUUCUUAAAGGCUCACUCAAUCUGAUCUUGACCACUUUCAAUGAUGGGGCAUUUACAACUUCUUUGACAGCUCUUCCAGUGUCACACCAUCCUCAUUGUGAAAAAUUUGUUUCUUAUAUCCAACCUAAGUAUACCCUUUUUCAGUUUGAAAACAUUGCCACUUGCCUUGCCUUAUCACUGCAGGUUCCACUAAAAAGUCUUUCUCCAUCUUUCUCAUAAGUUCCUUUUGGAUAUUGGAAGAUGACAGUAAAGUGUCCCUAGAGCAUUCUCCAAGAUGAACAACCCCAACUCACUCAACCUCUCCAACCCCUUAAAAGCAAGACUGUUUAAACAAUGUAGAAAUUCAGGAAUCCCAGCCUUUGCAUUGCCUUGACCAUGACCAAGGGGUGUUUAUUUUCACCACAUUCAUUCAUUCAUUAAAAAAAAAAAAAAAAAAAAAAAAAAAAAAAAAAAAAGGAAACAUUUUUCCUCCAAUUCAAAGUUCGUGUUCACAACUUUUGUCCUCUCACAAUUUGCACUGAAUUUAGUGGUGCAAACUGAGCUGUGAAUCAGUUGCCAUGUUCCAAAUCACCAAAAUACUUUAUUAUUAGCAGGUAUUAAAACUGACAUCUUGUUCAAGCAGGAAGGGUAACACAAGUUUAAGGCAUCCUUGUAAGUCAGUGGUAUGUGCAGGAAGCAUAGAAGCAUUGUGUAAAGGGAAGAGAAGCUCGGAAUCCAUCUUGCCAGCUUUUCUGAGGGAAAACUGCCAGAGAUUUGAUCUGUUAAGUCAGUGUUGCCUUUUAAUGAAUAUCCUGGCACAUCUGAUGCUAAAAGUCCCCUCAAGGGAAAAUAUUGUAAAUCUGGCUGGUAGUGCUAGAAGCAAGGCUUGUAGGCUGGGAAGGAAGUUGUUUCUUCUAGCGCAUACUGGGAGCUGAGGAAAGAUGCUGCUUCCCAUCCCAUGAGGCUUGCCCUGGGGAAGUGUGGCCGAGAAUGGCCAUACAGUCAUUUGCUGCCAAAGGAGAAUUUGCUGUGACUGCUGGAGGUGGCACUGAGCCUGGAUGUGAGAAGGGAGCCAACAGUGUCCAAUGGAAUCCCCGCAUGGAAACCCAUGCCAAUAAGUAGCAUAACAUAUGAAAUGAACUAUCUGUAGAUAAGGAGAAUAUACACACCAGGAUGCCUGUGAGUCCUGUGUGUGAAUGUAUGCACAAAUGUGAAAGGAAGCAUUUGAAAAAAUAUUUAUAAAAAGAAUAAAAUUUUACUUCAAAGACUGCUUAUAGGCA